rnacentral:rRNA from 1 species
UGCCAGACUCCUACGGGAGGCAGCAGUGAGGAAUAUUGGUCAAUGGGCUUACGCCUGAACCAGCCAAGUCGCGUGAGGGAAGACUGCCCUAUGGGUUGUAAACCUCUUUUGUCAGGGAGCAAUUGGCGCUACGUGUAGCGUUAUCGAGAGUACCUGAAGAAAAAGCAUCGGCUAACUCCGUGCCAGCAGCCGCGGUAAUACGGAGGAUCCAAGCGUUAUCCGGAUUUAUUGGGUUUAAAGGGUGCGUAGGCGGAUUGAUAAGUUAGAGGUGAAAUGUCCGAGCUUAACUCGGGAACUGCCUCUAAUACUGUUGAUCUAGAGAGUAGAUGCGGUAGGCGGAAUGUAUGGUGUAGCGGUGAAAUGCUUAGAGAUCAUACAGAACACCGAUUGCGAAGGCAGCUUACCAAUCUAUAUCUGACGUUGAGGCACGAAAGCGUGGGGAGCAAACAGGAUUAGAUACCCCCGUAC